rnacentral:piRNA from 1 species
UAGUUCUUACAUCCAUGUUACCCACGCCUG